AGAUAUAAGGGUGAUCUGGCUGUGACAUCUGUCAUCCCAUUGAUUGCCAGGGUUGAUUUGGCUGAUGUGGCUGGCUAGGUGGGUGUCCCUUUCCUCCCUCACUGCCCUUUGUGUGUCACUUUGGAAGCUGUGCCCUCAGUCAAAAUGAUACCCUUUCCUGAAUCAGAACAGAGGAGAACCAGUCUUCUGUCAAGAGUAUAGGACUAGUUGCGCUCUCCCUCCAUACAAGCUCUCAAGGUCUAUUUGAAUCCAGGCUCAGCCACUUCUAGCUGUGUAACUAUAACACCAUGUUUGUGCCU
rnacentral:snRNA from 1 species